UGGGGAAUAUUGCACAAUGGGGGAAACCCUGAUGCAGCGACGCCGCGUGAACGAAGAAGGUAUUCGUAUCGUAAAGUUCUGUCCUAUGGGAAGAUAAUGACAGUACCAUAGAAGAAAGCUCCGGCUAAAUACGUGACAGCAGCCGCGGUAAUACGUAUGGAGCGAGCGUUGUCCGGAAUUAUUGGGCGUAAAGGGUACGCAGGCGGUUUAAUAAGUCGAAUGUUAAAGAUCGGGGCUCAACCCCGCAAAGCAUUGGAAACUGAUAAACUUGAGUAGUGGAGAGGAAAGUGGAAUUCCUAGUGUAGUGGUGAAAUACGUAGAUAUUAGGAGGAAUACCAGUAGCGAAGGCGACUUUCUGGACACAAACUGACGCUGAGGUACGAAAGCGUGGGGAGCAAACAGG
rnacentral:rRNA from 1 species